rnacentral:rRNA from 1 species
UUGGAGGGCAAGUCUGGUGCCAGCAGCCGCGGUAAUUCCAGCUCCAAUAGCGUAUAUUAAAGUUGUUGCAGUUAAAAAGCUCGUAGUUGAAUUUCGGGGUUCAUACGUUGGUCGGGCUUUUUGGUCGGUACUGGCGUAAUGGAUUCCUACCUUCUGAAUAACCGGCAUGCCAUUAAUUUGGUGCGCCGGGGAAGCAGGACUGUUACCUUGAAAAAAUUAGAGUGCUUAAAGCAGGCUAUCGCCUGAAUACAUUAGCAUGGAAUAAUGAAAUAGGACGGCAUGGUUCUAUUUUGUUGGUUUCUAGGAUCACCGUAAUGAUUAAUAGGGAUAGUUGGGGGCAUUAGUAUUCAAUUGUCAGAGGUGAAAUUCUUGGAUUUAUUGAAGACUAACUACUGCGAAAGCAUUUGCCAAGGAUGUUUUCAUUAAUCAAGAACGAAAGUUAGGGGAUCGAAGACGAUCAGAUACCGUCGUAGUCUUAACCAUAAACUAUGCCGACUAGGGAUCGGACGAAGUUAAUUUUAUAAUGACGCGUUCGGCGCCUUACGGGAAAC